GGGCUGCACCCACAGCAGCACAUGGAGGUUCCCAGGCUAGGGGUCAAACUGGAGGUGCAGCUGCCAGCCUACAGCACAGCCACAGCCACACCAGAUCUGAGCCGCCUCUGUGUACACCACAGCUCACGUUAAUGCCAGAUGCUUAACGCACUGAGCGAGGCCAGGGAUUGAACCCACAUCCACGUGGAUACUCAUCAGGUUCCUUCCCACUCAGCCGCAGCAGGAACUCCCUGCUCAUUUUGGAUGAAAUGAGACAUACUGGUGGGCUCUUUCCAGCGGGGAGGUACUGUGGUGGACUUGGCGGCUCAGUGAAAAAGUCAGAGUUUUGUUGCUUCCCGACAAGCAGGCCUGUAAUUUCGGUUUUGCCCCAGGCUGCUGUCCCUGGCUCCUUGGCCAUGAGUCUGGGCCUGACUCCUGAGGCCUGAGCUCUGAGGUGGGUCCUGAUGGGGAGGGAAGGCGACGAUCUUCACAAAGCCUGAAGGGUUUCCUGAAACUGGGACUGGGGUGCUGGUGCUUCCUCCACCGGGGGGUUCGGGAGCACAUCUUUAGCCCUGGUGAAUUCUUUUUUUUUCACCUGCAGCAUAUGGAAGUUCCUGGGUUAGGGGUCGAAUUGGAGCUGCAGCUGCCUGCCUCCACCAGAGCCACAGCAAUGCAGAGUCCCAGCCAUGCCUGUGACCUACCGCACAGCUCACAGCAACGCUGGAUCCUUAACCCAUUGAGCGAGGCCAGAUUUUGAACCCGUGUCCUUAAGGAGACUAGUCAGGUUCGUAACUUGCUGAGCCACAAUGGGAACUCCCCUGGUCUGCCAGUAUGGUUUAUAUUCCUACUGUGGACAUAGGUAACUUGUCCAGGUUGGAGUGAAAAAGAGGGUACAUCCAAUUUUAAUAUUCUAAAUAAAUGGCUGGGGCCUAUUGUGAGAUUGUCCUUUUCUCUAGUUUAAAGUCUUUCCUACCUGGCUGUGGUGGCUCCUGCCCGCCCUCCACUGCUCUCCUGCUGCCUCUUCCUCUCCCCAGGGCCUAGAACCUUCUUUCCCCAGGGGCUGGUCAACGCCCUGGGAGGCUGCAGAACCAUGGUUCUCUGAAAUGUCACAGCUCAGGAAGAGGGGGCCCCGUGCCUGGCUUCUCUCUGGCUCCCUGGAUAUUCUGAAAUUAACAACACAUAUGACUUGAACCCGGGAGAACCCAGACUGGGACCUAAACCCACAGUUUUCUAAGUAGAAUCACUCACCUGGUGUCUGGACUUUCUGAGGUUCAGGCUCUUUGUGUCCAGCUCAGAAGGAAUUCGGCGAGAGACAAAGUGAUAGGCAAGAAAUAGAUUUACUAAAGUAGGAUGCUUGUGAGGGAUACAGGCGGGCAGGUGAGGAGGCGCUGCCCUGGGGAGCAGGUGGGCUACGUUUCUGGAAUCCAAGGAGAGCGGGAGGGGGAAAACCGCCUUCUUCCUCUUUCUUCUCGUGGACGCCAGACUCACAGCCUUAGCUCCUCCUUCGUAUCUGGUCAGAGUAUCUGACCCUCUGAGGUCAAACCAGAACUGUCCCGGUGCUUCUUCGAAUUCGCAGAAGGUGGUACCAGAGGCUAACAUGUGGAAGCAUCUCAGGUUUCUGUACAGCGAGGGGUCUCCUACUUUGGAAGGAAGGUCAUCUUUCCCUUCAAUUCCUCCCCUUGGCUCUAAGGAGCAUUAUCUCGCUGAACUUGAACGCAGGCCUCAUUUUAUCUUUCACUUAAUGACUUGAGGCAUAGCUCAUGCUUUUAUUCAUGGUUUUAAGCAAGUCUGCUUCCUGCCGAUGGCUUUCUUGGGUGUUUAUUAACUCACAGUGUCUCCCAAAGUCCCCUGGGUUUCCCUCUCUAGCUCUGGUCCCUAUCGGGACGCCUAUAAUGACCUUAUCUACCCCAGCCUGUCAAUUCCACUCCAGAGGCCUUGGAAUUCCUCUUCACCAGGACCUUCUGAACUCCGAUUUCAGCAAAUUUUAACUUUAAAAAUACUGGUUUCAAGAACCUGCGCCUCCUUGCUUUGGGGAGGCUCUGUCGUCCAUGUCACAUUUACCCGCCAUGCUUCCUAACGACGUCUCCGCUUGGGAAAAAAUACACAAAAAUAGCAAUUUCAGCUUGCCGCACCUGCUAGGGAGAGUCUAGCAGGCAUUCAGGUUUGUGGUGUAUGUUAGUGCGUUUCCAUCCACGUCUCCGGAGCACUGGCAAAGGCAGGAAGUGCCAAGACGGCCUGACCUGGAGGCUGCACCUGAGGUCGCCAGCCGGGCACAGCGACCAUAAGGUCCACACCAAGCUGUCCACUUCCAGCCUGGCUCCUUCCUCAGAGGGGCUCAGACAGAGCAGGGGCGCUCAUCAGAGACACAGGACCUCACUUCAGUUGCCAGUCGCACGAAGCUGUUCGGCAUUUCUUUUCCUUUCUUUUUAAAAUGUCUUCGCUCAGUGGGUUAAGGAUCCGGCAUUGCCGUGAGCUGUGGUGUAGACCAGCCGCUAACAGCUCCAAUUUGACCCCUAGCCUGGGAACUUCCAUUUGUCAUGGGUGCGGCCCUAAAAGGACAGAAGACAAAAAAAAAAAAAAAAGAAAAAGAAAAAAAGAAAUCUGGGCCCGUAGGGAAUGCAUAGAGGGAAUGCCCUGCUCUUUGGGUCCCGUGCUGUACCCCUGGGAUGAGGGCAAAACCCUCCCCAUGCACGUGGGGCUGAAAAACAGGAGGGGAGACUCCCUGGAUAAAAACUGGAUACAUGGAAGAAGCCAUGUGGCCUGGGGUAACUCAAGAAUGAGCAGCAACAACAACAACAAAAACAAAACCCAAAUUCUCCAUUUAAUAGUCCUUUGAGUUCUCUCUUUCAAAUGACUUUUUGGUGAUAGUUUGAAUUAUCGUUCAAACUUACUUGAACGAAAUUAUUGUUCAAAUACCUCUUUCUUUCCCUUUCCUGUGUGGGUGAAGUUUAUUUUCCUGACUCGUUGUUGCUUCUCCUGUAUCCUCACAUAUGUUUUUCUAUAGCCAUGGAAUGUUAGUGGACAGGUCUUAAAUGAGCCUGUACCUUUUGGAUUUUCUGCUUUGGGAAUCUUCCAUUUAAAGAGCCUGCUGCAGAUAGCGUGGCCCCUUCAGCUUGGAUUCUGGGGUGAACACACAUGGGAGCAGACCUGAAUCCAACUCAUAGCAGCUAGAGGAGUCUGUUUUAGUGGAGUGAAGGCAAACUCGUGUAAGAAGCUGCUGGGCUUUGAGAUAGGCUCGCAGCAGUAUUUUGACAAUAUAACUCAUUCAGAUGCUCUUGCAAUGGAUGUAUCAGAAUUUCUCUCUAAAAGCAGCAAUCUGUUAGGAAUAUGGGACGAGGGAAAUUAUCUUGAAGUCGGAUUUACUGAGCAAGGACACUGCUUUUAUUUAGUUUGUCUUUCAGAACCCAAUUAUUUUUAACUUGGAACAUUUUCAGAAUAAUUCUUACCAACUGGCCAUCUUGACAGUAAAAGCUACAAGCAUGGCCCCGUGCAGCAUGGGGAACUGCAAAAUAUCCACCCAUGAGAGCUGGAGCUUAGUCCUCGCCUUGUGAAUGUUGGAGAUUGUCAACCAAAACAAACUUUUAGCUUAUCUGAUCUUAAGCUGCUCUUUUUGAUUCUAGUUAGUCAACAGUUUCAGCUGCUGAAGUUUUCCCACGGAACAAUGUUAUAAUGAGUUGGAUAAUUGGAAGUUGUGUUCCCGACCAAGGACUCAGCAGCAAAUAAAUCAUAGAUAUAACCAACCAUAUGUCACACAGACAAGAUACAACCCCCAUAAACCCUCCAGAAUCAUUUGAAUUAGCAAAAUGAUGACCUCGGGCCCAUGAAAGGGGCAAGACUUUGCAAAGAGCAUAAAAUACAGGCCUAAUGUAUCAUAAAUUUGGCCAAUAUGAAACUAAUAGAUAGCUAUUGUAAACUUGGAAUUAACACGUUUGUAGAAUGAUGUCUAUGGCCUGGGUCGUCAAGGAAGGAAAAGCAAUCUUACUGUCACAGUAAGUUUCGUGGAUGCAUCCUUUAUCCCUCAAUGAAUUCCGUGGCCGUAAAUACCUCAGGUAAAAGCCAAUAUUGUUUCUUGAAAGGCAGGACCUUGGGGAAAAGUGUUUAGGACAGAAACACCAAUCAUCUUAAACGGCACUGUGGAUGUUUCCGUCUGUCGCCAUAGAUAAUUAGCUGACACCUGUGAGGAGUGUACACACACACACGCACACACACACGUACACGCACACCCAUUCCCUCCUGAAACUUACUUUGGCGUCCGGUCUUGAACACGGGGGUGUGAAAAGCAACCCCAGCAAAACUCCGUUUCGUGGUUCCUUUAUGCCAGUGGCUCUUAAAUAACAUGAUUUUUGUUGACAUUGAGUAAUGUCUGGAAACAUUUUUGAUUGUCCAAACUGGGUGGUACCACUGACCUCUAGCAGGUGCUGCCAAACAUCCUACCACACACAGGACAGGGCCCAACGGCAAGGACUUGUCGGGCCCUAAAUGUCAACAUUGCCAAUGUUGAAAGCCCUGGCUUUACACAAAGGAUCGUGUUGUAGAGAAAAAGGUGGAUUCUGCCAUUCAGCGUAAGCGGAUAAUUCUUUUUUUUUAAGGGCUUCACCCGAGGCAUAGGGAGGUUCCCAGGUGAGGGGUCGAAUCAGAGCUACAGCUGCCGGCCUGCGCCACAGCCACAGCCAUGCCAGAUCUGAGCCACAUCUGCGACCUACACCACAGCUCACGGCAACGCCAGAUCCUUAACCCACGAGCGAGGCCAGGGGUCGAACCUGCUUCCUCAUAGAUGCCAGUCAGGUUUGCUAACCCCUGAGCCACGCCGGGAACGCCGGGAUGACUUCCGCUAAUCUACUGCAUUGCCACCAGCAGCCCUGGGUCAGCUGGACAAGAAAGCAGCUUCCUCACAGAGACCCGGCUCGUGAAGGUGGUUUAAUGAGUAUUUGUUAAGUAAUUAAAUCAGUGAAUGGGAAGGAGGAGGAAGAGUAAGAAGGAAAGGAAGAAGGGGAAAAGGAAGCAGAUGGUGCCAAGGCCGAAGUUUGGUGAACCUGCUUCUCUUCCAUCUACUGCCUCCCAGAAAAUCAGUAGGCAUGGGGUCGGCUAAAAUAUACUGCUUACUAAUUACUGCCAUUAACGGCUUAUCAUAUUUAACUUAUUGUGUUAGUGGUAAUUAAAGGACUUAAAGUAUAAUCAACAAUCACUAUACAAUUGUUCUUGCAGCAGCUCACAAAUAAAUAGAAGAUUAUGGAGGAGUUCCCGUCGUGGCUCAGCAGUUAACAAACCUGGCUAGUAUGCAUGAGGAUGCGAGUUCAAUCCCUGGCCUUGCUCAGUGGGUUAGCGAUCCGGCAGUGCUGUGGCUGUGGUGCAGGCCAGCAGCUGAGGCUCUGAUUUGACCCUAGCCUGGGAACUUCCAUGUGCCACGGGUGCAGCCCUAAAAAGCAAAAAAAAAAAAAAAAAAAAA
rnacentral:lncRNA from 1 species